rnacentral:rRNA from 1 species
CCCUAUGGGGUGCAGCAGGCUGUACCGGUUGAGGCUCAGGCUGAGCAGGUGCGGGUUGCGGGGCUGUUUCCGCCGGCGCCGGGGCUUGCGGCUGCGGAGCAGGCUGCUGCUGUUGAGCUUCGGCCUGCUGAAUCUUUUCAAUCUGGCGUAAAGCCUGUUCUUGUUCUUCCUGAGCCUGUUUGGCUUUCUGUUCCAACUCAGCCGCUUUUUGUUCGGCCUGCUUAGCCUGCUCGGAGGCCUUCUGGGCAUCCACAAGAGUUUUCUGGGCUUCCUGCUGAAGCUUUUCCAUUUCCUGCUGGAGCUGCUGGAUACGCUGCCGCUCCGCUUCGGUCUGUUCGACAGCCUGGGCCGCCGUGGUUUUGGCACUUUCAAUCUGCUGCUUGGCCUGUUCGGCCUGCUGGAGGGC